GCCAGUGAUGAUCCAAUCCAACGGUGAGGUGUAGUGGAGCUAAGGUCCCUGCUUUGCAGGGGGAACCUCCUUGGUUACGCUACAUCAUACAUGAUCACAACGGAUUUUACUGAGGC